rnacentral:rRNA from 1 species
UACGAACCGUACGAACGUUAUUCGGAAUCACUGGGCUUAAAGGGUGCGUAGGCGGCCAUGUAAGUGAGGUGUGAAAUCCCUCGGCUCAACCGAGGAACUGCGCUUCAUACUGCAUGGCUUGAGGGAGACGGGGGUAAGCGGAACUGAUGGUGGAGCGGUGAAAUGCGUUGAUAUCAUCAGGAACACCGGUGGCGAAAGCGGCUUACUGGGUCUCUUCUGACGCUGAGGUACGAAAGCUAGGGUAGCGAACGGG